GCCAGUGUGAUGUAGUGGCUUGAGUGUUGGACUAUGACUCUGGAGACCGGGGUUCGAACCUCAGCAUGGACA
rnacentral:tRNA from 1 species